UGUGUGACUCAUAUAGUUUGUGAGCGUUCAUGGCGUCUCACCAGUCUGCAGUGCCAGUGCGACGAUAAUAGAUUUUAUUGUGGUUAAAUUCCAGUAAAACAACCAUUUAACAGCCACGUUUAUGAGUAAAAUUAGUUAGGUGACCAAUUUCUUAAAACCGUUUUUAUUGACUUAUGUAGAGAAAGUCCAGCAGCGACCGCAAAAAGGAGCAAAUUGAGUCGUGUUUUCUUAAUUUUUUACAGGAUUUUGUGCUGAGGAGGAGACAUCAUUUAUAGUUAUAUACAAGAAAAUUCACUGCAAUUGUGAAGAUUCAGGAAGAAAAGAAAGAAGGCAUGCAGGUUUGGAACGAUAUGAG